UUUCUCUCUGUCUCUCUCGGCAGCCGAACCUAAAACCUCUCUUUCGCUCUCUCUCCGUGCCCGGCCGUCACCAGCUUCGUUCAAUUCAAUAAUUGAAUUCCAAGAGCAGUAAUGAUAAAGAGGCAAUUCUACAAGCUAGAACAUGCCAAUAGAGAUGAGGCCUCAGAUUCAUCUUCGUCCUCGGACUCCGAAUUAGAAGCAGAAGCCAUAGAAGAAUCAGAGGAUAAUGCAGUUGCAGAAGUGAAAGGGGAUAAUGAAUCUUGCUCUACCUCAUCUGGAUAUAAGAGUGAGGAUAGCUCAGCAAAUGAGGUUGAUCUUGACUCUUCAGGUCUACCCAUAAGCGAUGAUAAUGCUGAAACUGGAAAUGAAAGAGAAAUCCUUACUGACAGUCAGCUGUCUGGUCAACGUGGUUCCAAAACACUUGAGACACAGUCCAAUAUCGAAGCUGAAAAGGAAUCAUUACCUGCAGAUAUUCCAGACUGUAUAUUAAAAUGCAAAUCAGUUUUUAAGUGCAGGAUGUGCCCUAGAAUUAUCUGUUUGAAUGAGGAAACUCUAAGGGAUCAUCUCAAGUCCAAGAGACAUGCUCGAUCUGAGAAAUUACUGAAUGAAGGUAGGCUGAAGGCCAUGCUCAACAGUGAUGGGGAAAUUGAGAACCAAGAAACUGCUGCUGAGAUGAAUGCUCGAAUUUUAGCUCUUCCACUGGGUAAUAAAAAAAGGAAAAACAGAAAAAGACAUGGAGAACAAAAGAGAAAAACAAAGAAGAAAUUGGGAUCUGCUGAUAACAUUGGAAAAGCAAAGGGAUCGACAAAAAGCCCAGCUGAGAAAAGGCGUAAAAAUGAGAACUGAAGAACGUUAUGUUGUUUUUGCCAUACUGCUAGUGGCAAAAUGGCUGCAAGAAAUGAAUCAAAGGAUUUUACCAUUUCUGCAGAGCUACUAACAUUUGGGCAUCCUGUCAGGAUGAGUGCAAUUUGGACAAAUAGGAUGUGGGAUGGCGUGUGCGCGGCGGAGAUGGAUGGGUGACGAUAGAUUUAUCUCAACUUUUCACAAAUCAUGCAGAAUACCGUGAUGUGCUACGUCUGCUGAUGUUUACAAUUGCACAUUACAAUGCUGCAAACAUUCACGACGAAGUAAAAAAUUGCUUCUCCCGACAGCCUUCGUUUGGGUUUAUAAAGCAAAACAAAUGUCCCAGAAGAGCGUGUCAAGGCAAGGUGAAAGACAAACUCUCUCAUUCGAUGCAAUGUAACUUUAGUCAAAGCAAUUGUAUAACAUUUUAGUAAUAUUGCUGAGCUUGUGUGGCCCUCAAAUGGGUCUUGUUAGUUGGUUUAAAAUCUGCAGUGGGAUUCUAAUCAUGAGUAGCAGCUAUUCAGCUAUCGCGGAAAUCAGACUCGCUCGACAAUACCCCUUGAUUUACUCUUACCAAAGUUUGAAUAGAAAGGAGAUAAAUUAUCUCU